rnacentral:rRNA from 1 species
CGAGUGAAGCGGCAACAGCUCAAAUUUGAAAGCUGGCCCCCCCGGGGGUCCGCGUUGUAAUUUGUAGAGGAUGAUUCGGCGAGGGCUCCCGCCUAAGUCCCCUGGAACGGGGCGUCAUAGAGGGUGAGAAUCCCGUAUGCGGUGGGCUGCCUUAGCCACGUGAAUCUCCUUCGACGAGUCGAGUUGUUUGGGAAUGCAGCUCUAAAUGGGAGGUAAAUUUCUUCUAAAGCUAAAUACCGGCCAGAGACCGAUAGCGCACAAGUAGAGUGAUCGAAAGAUGAAAAGCACUUUGGAAAGAGAGUUAAAAAGUACGUGAAAUUGUUGAAAGGGAAGCGCUUGCAGCCAGACUUGUCCGCAGUUGCUCAGCCGGUCUCCUGACCGGCGCACUCUUCUGCGGCCAGGCCAGCAUCAGUUCGGGCGGUCGGAUAAAGGCCCCGGGAACGUAGCUCCUCUCGGGGAGUGUUAUAGCCCGGGGUGGAAUGCGGCCAGCCCGGACUGAGGAUCUCGCUUCGGCUAGGAUGCUGGCGUAAUGGCUGUAAGCGGCCCGUCUUGAAACACGGACCAAGGAGUCUAACAUCUAUGCGAGUGUUUGGGUGUCAAACCCAUGCGCGUAAUGAAAGUGAACGGAGGUGGGAACCCUCGCGGGUGCACCAUCGACCGAUCCUGAUGUCUUCGGAUGGAUUUGAGUAAGAGCAUAGCUGUUGGGACCCGAAAGAUGGUGAACU